UUCCACAAAUCAUAUGGUGGCAGCUUACAAGCUUCUCUGCGCACACGUCAUUGCUUUGCAUGUCACUUAUCUUCCACCUCUCACACAUACAGCCAUAUAUAACUACAUCAUCAUCCUCCUUUCAUUUCCACCUCAACAAUUCAUCACUCAUGGAGAGAAAAACUUUCAGCUUCUUGCUCUUGCUCCUUCUUGUCUUAGCCUCUGAUGUGGCCGUAGAGAGAGGAGAAGCUAAAACUUGUAUGACAAAGAAAGAAGGGUGGGGAAGAUGCUUAAUUGAUACCACCUGUGCACAUUCGUGCAGGAAGCAA